CACGCAGGCGGUUUUUUAAGUCAGAUGUGAAAGGUACCGGCUCAACCGGUGACAUGCAUUUGAAACUGAAAGACUUGAGUAUUGGAGAGGCAAGUGGAAUUCCUAGUGUAGCGGUGAAAUGCGUAGAUAUUAGGAGGAACACCGGUGGCGAAGGCGGCUUGCUGGACAAAUACUGACGCUGAGGUGCGAAAGCGUGGGGAGCAAAACA
rnacentral:rRNA from 1 species